rnacentral:rRNA from 1 species
CUCAGCCUACGGGAGGCAGCAGUAGGGAAUCUUCCACAAUGGACGAAAGUCUGAUGGAGUAACGCCGCGUGAAGGAAGAAGGCCUUCGGGUCGUAAACUUCUGUCCUUGGGGAAGAAGAACUGACGGUACCCAAGGAGGAAGCCCCGGCUAACUACGUGCCAGCAGCCGCGGUAAUACGUAGGGGGCAAGCGUUAUCCGGAAUUAUUGGGCGUAAAGAGUACGUAGGUGGCAACCUAAGCGCAGGGUUUAAGGCAAUGGCUCAACCAUUGUUCGCCCUGCGAACUGGGAUGCUUGAGUGCAGGAG